GAUGAAGAACGCAGCGAAAUGCGAUAAGUAAUGUGAAUUGCAGAAUUCAGUGAAUCAUCGAAUCUUUGAACGCACAUUGCGCCCCCUGGUAUUCCGGGGGGCAUGCCUGUCCGAGCGUCAUUACAACCCUCAGGGCCCGCCUGCUUGCAGGCGCGGCGCUGGUGUUGGGGAUCGGCUACCCUGCCGUCCCCCAAAUACAGUGGCGGUCUCGCUGCAGCCUCCCCUGCGUAGUAGCAACACUCGCAUGCGGAGCGCGGCGCGGCCACGCCGUAAAACCCCCGACUUUCUGAACGUUGACCUCGGAUCAGGUAGGAAUACCCGCUGAACUUAAGCAUAUCAAUAAGCGGAGGA
rnacentral:misc_RNA from 1 species